AGCUGUCCAUCUCUCUCUCAUUGUUAUGGAUGUGCACACUGAGAUAUGCAUCUAAUCAUGCCGUCAAUAAUUUAAGAUUUGGGUUUGGGUCAAUAUGAUAGCAGCUGAUUUCCGUUUGAUGGGACUUCAAUGGUUAUCACUGUCCGUUUGAUGGGACUUCAAUAGUUCUGUCCGUUUGAUGGAUUUUGCGAUAGAGAAAG
rnacentral:lncRNA from 1 species